GAACGCUAGCUACAGGCUUAACACAUGCAAGUCGAGGGGAAACGACAUCGAAAGCUUGCUUUUGAUGGGCGUCGACCGGCGCACGGGUGAGUAACGCGUAUCCAACCUGCCCACCACUUGGGGAUAACCUUGCGAAAGUAAGACUAAUACCCAAUGACGUCUCUAGAAGACAUCUGAAGGAGAUUAAAGAUUUAUCGGUGAUGGAUGGGGAUGCGUCUGAUUAGCUUGUUGGCGGGGUAACGGCCCACCAAGGCAACGAUCAGUAGGGGUUCUGAGAGGAAGGUCCCCCACAUUGGAACUGAGACACGGUCCAAACUCCUACGGGAGGCAGCAGUGAGGAAUAUUGGUCAAUGGGCGAGAGCCUGAACCAGCCAAGUAGCGUGCAGGAUGACGGCCCUAUGGGUUGUAAACUGCUUUUAUAAGGGAAUAAAGUGAGUCUCGUGAGACUUUUUGCAUGUACCUUAUGAAUAAGGACCGGCUAAUUCCGUGCCAGCAGCCGCGGUAAUACGGAAGGUCCGGGCGUUAUCCGGAUUUAUUGGGUUUAAAGGGAGCGUAGGCCGGAGAUUAAGCGUGUUGUGAAAUGUAGACGCUCAACGUCUGCACUGCAGCGCGAACUGGUUUCCUUGAGUACGCACAAAGUGGGCGGAAUUCGUGGUGUAGCGGUGAAAUGCUUAGAUAUCACGAAGAACUCCGAUUGCGAAGGCAGCUCACUGGAGCGCAACUGACGCUGAAGCUCGAAAGUGCGGGUAUCGAACAGGAUUAGAUACCCUGGUAGUCCGCACGGUAAACGAUGGAUGCCCGCUGUUGGUCUGAAUAGGUCAGCGGCC
rnacentral:rRNA from 1 species